CUGAAACCACUUUGAUGAAACAGUAACAACAAAAGAAGUAAAUAAUAAUAAUAAUAUUAAUAAGGAAAUAGUUAAAUAUAUGUAAAUAUACAAAAUCAAACUCCCUGAUGACCAUGCGUCACCAUUGACACUGCACAGCACGCAUGGGGAAAAUCCCAGGCUGGACUCAGUGGCAGACAGGAGCUGAAUUCAGGAGCUCGAUAAAGGAGCUGGAUUCAGGAAUGCAUGAAUCGACAGCAGACAGUUGGAUGAGGUCAUCACUGGACACUGGACAUUGAAGAAAAGAGCUUGAUCCUCGUGAUCCUUCAACUUUAUACAGAGUAUGACAUGUGUGAAAUGGAAUACUUUAAGUGUCCUGACAAGAACUUUGUGGACCUUGGAGUGUACCUGUACAAAACUAGUCACUGGAUUUCUAAAGCUCCUGAGACUAAGGUGUUUGUAAAUAUCUCCUGCCAUUUCUUGGAGCAAGAUUCUGCCACUUCUCUUUGUGAUACUCAAUAGCACUCAUGUAGAAAAGUGGCAGGCUGCAUGUUUUCCCCAAGAAGAGAAGGAAGACAGUCACGCCGACAUGUGUUUUCAGAUGUUCUCAGACUUCAUUUGCUAGUAGGAGUAGCAUGUGGUUUAUAGAAAAAGGAAGAUCAGAUGCCUUUCAGAUGUUCCUUGUACAAUGCUGAAAGAAAUGGUCAUUUAUUUUCUACUUGGUCCUCGUGUCGUCUCUUUGGAAAACAUCAGCAUAUACACUGAAGCCAGUUAUUUGUCCAUGGAAUUAUUUUUGGUCAUGUUUAGCCAAAGACAAAACAGAAGGCCAUGCAUCAUAUGAGAUAUAUGGAACAGGAAGACUAGAACCUCCAAGGGUCUUGAUAAUUUCUGUUCUUCCCAUGAAAAGUUCUUGGCUCCAAAGAGUACCGAUGACUAGGUAAGCAUAUCUUACUUUAGUAUGUUUGUCUAUUAUUAAAAUAAACUAUACACUCCUUUAGGCCAUCUGUUUCUUAGGUCAGUUUCUUUUUUCCCCUGCCAACAACCAAAUAAUAAUCUAAUGUUCAUGUUAAGAAAAACUACAAGCACUGCUGCUUGCCUCUGAUCUGUGUUUGUUUGUAAUUAAAAAUACAUGAAAUAAACUGAACCUUGCACUUGCAAGAGCUGAGUGAAUGCACUUUUUAAUAUGCAGUUGUUUAUUAUUUAUUUUCUGUCUUCUGCAGUCAACUUUUAAAAAAUAAGAGUUUUUUAUAGUUCACAAGAAGUCACAGACAGUAGUCUUUUACGUAAGUAAAGUCUUUGGAACACUUGAAGAAUAAUUUGGUGCCAAACUCUUAAAUCACUUUGCAAGUUCUAUGCCAUCUGAAAUCCAUGGCAUAAUUUAAAUUUAAAUUAAUUACUUUGUCUUUUUUAAAUCUGUUAAACAUACAAAUCAAACAAAGUAAUUUAUGAGAACUACUGGAUGACUGUCCAGUUAGAAGAGAUUUGAAUAGGCAAAUUCUGUUCCACUUACGGGAAAAAAACCCAACUAGAAAAUGUAACGCUUUUUUAGUUCGAAGGAAAAAGGAGAAUGGUGAUACAGGUUUCUCUAAGAAAGAUGUGUGUGUCAAGUCAUUGACCUCAAUAUUCUUCAAGAAGGAGACAAAAAGUCUUGUAGACUUAUGGCUAAGGAAGAACACACUUAUCUGUGACCUUCUUCGUGGAAAUUUGUAUUCAAAUACAAACAUUGAAGAUGAACGUGAUUAGAUGAAGUACUUCAUAAGUAACUGACACGGUGGUAGGACAUGGCUUGACCAGAGGGAACAAGAAACACAUUGGACUCUCUGUUCUAGGUUUAUGACAACUCCUGCCCAGAAUUUUGCUAGCACAGCUCAUGCAAAGGCUGGAUAUACGCUGGGAGCAUCACCACUAGGUGAAAUCCAGAGCACCACAUAGACAAGAUAAGUGGCUAGGCAGAGCUAAAAAGCCGUCAUGCAGCUAAUUUCUCCUGCAAAAUUGCUGUCUCCUGCAUAUUGGUUGUCUGGCAGUUUCGUCAGAAUUCACUAACUUGUGGUGUAGACCACAUUUCCAAACUGGAAGGCCAGCUUAUACACCGCUUUUGAAGUGGAUCAAACAACACCUGGACUGUUCAAGAUUUUGUGCUUCCUAAUGUGAAAUAGGGGAUGCUUGCAGUGUGACAAAGAAGGAAAGAUAAGCACUCGCACCUUCAGUUAGGUAACUAUUUUGCUGAUAAGUGCAUGAGUUGUAAGUUGCAAGUUUUAAGUUAUCAGUUACAAGGUAUAAAUUAGAGAACUUGUGAGAGAUAGACCUCAUGACUUAAGUAACGAUUCAAUGAAUUCACAUGACAGGCUAGUCAUAAAAAGGGGAUUGAGCCCUUGUUUGUCAUGUUUGUUUCUUUUCUUAAUGAGCUCAUGAAUUAAAGUUUAAUUCACAUUUUAUCCUGUAAAUUUGAGAGAUCCAAGUAGACUGUGGCAAGCUUAUAAGUAGUUUGCACGUGUGUGAUUGACCAAAGUAGAGAAGUCUGAAAUAUAUACUUUGUAAAAAGAAAAAAAUUAUCAGCAAGAAACUAGUCUUUUGUAAAUUUGUUUUGCUCUCAAGUAUCUUUGUUUCUUUCUGUAGCUAAUGGUACACUAAAUUUCAUUCCUCGUAUUUAAGAAAAAAAUGCUGAUAUCAUUAGUCUCCUUGCCUAAGAUUUUCUUUUGCUAUAAGUGGAAGAAAAUCCAAGGGGAGGAGAUGAAAAGAAGAGUAUUUCUUUUUAUAUCAUUAAAGGUAUAGCUUUAAAUUAACUGAAGGGAUUAAUUGCCCUCAGCUCAGUGUAACAAAUGGCUUUUAUUUUAAGAAAAUCAUCUUCUUUCAGCAUCUUAAGUAUAUUCAUUUUACAUUUUUCUUUCAGCUUGUACCUACAUUUAUUUUUGAAUACCUAAAUAAAAAAUCCCCAAAUACAAACAACUUGAAAGCAGCUGGUAUUUUAAUAAGAAAACCAACAGCAGAAGUACUAUGUUCAAAGACAAAACUUGCACUGGUUCACUUUGGCUGAUCACCAUCAACUUAAAAUAGAGAAAGUACAACUAACUCUCAAGUGGCAGAUUCACACCUUGGCAGUAAUACUGAGCACUCAUUCCUACUACCUGUGUUUGCAAGAUUUCCCUGUGAAGUGGAUGUAUGAAUUAAUUUAAUUUAAAAUGUUUUUUAGGAUUUUCAAUGGAUUCUUUAUGAAGUUUUCUGAAGCUGUUUUGAUUACCAGUUUAUCUAUGUCAUCCUUCAUAAAACUGGAUGUGCACAACUGGCAGACACUUUUAGGAAUGUGAACUUGAGUAAGAAAGAAAGGAUAUUAUAAGGUAGAAAUAAAACUCUUACGUUAAGACUGGAAACC